UUAUGAAUAUUGUGUUAAUGCCAUUGUAAGUUAUUUGUAAUCGCAAUAAGUGCGAAGGCUUUUAUUUUGAAGAAUUACUGUGUUGUCUGCCACGGACUUCCUGUUUGGUAAUUUCCGGUUUUCUCCGUGAGCUGCAGCAAGCAUGACUGAAUGUGUUGUGUCUUCAGCAUUUAAUCCUGUGCCAUCCGCGAGAAAUUAAGGCGAAGCAAUGCUUUUUCACCCAGCUUAUGAUACGUGGAAGUCGACAGUAAAUGCUCAAUCUUG